rnacentral:rRNA from 1 species
UUGAACGCUGGCGGCAUGCCUUACACAUGCAAGUCGAACGGCAGCACGGGUGCUUGCACCUGGUGGCGAGUGGCGAACGGGUGAGUAAUACAUCGGAACAUGUCCUGUAGUGGGGGAUAGCCCGGCGAAAGCCGGAUUAAUACCGCAUACGAUCUACGGAUGAAAGCGGGGGACCUUCGGGCCUCGCGCUAUAGGGUUGGCCGAUGGCUGAUUAGCUAGUUGGUGGGGUAAAGGCCUACCAAGGCGACGAUCAGUAGCUGGUCUGAGAGGACGACCAGCCACACUGGGGCUGAGACACGGCCCAGACUCCUACGGGAGGCAGCAGUGGGGAAUUUUGGACAAUGGGCGAAAGCCUGAUCCAGCAAUGCCGCGUGUGUGAAGAAGGCCUUCGGGUUGUAAAGCACUUUUGUCCGGAAAGAAAUCCUUGGCUCUAAUACAGUCGGGGGAUGACGGUACCGGAAGAAUAAGCACCGGCUAACUACGUGCCAGCAGCCGCGGUAAUACGUAGGGUGCGAGCGUUAAUCGGAAUUACUGGGCGUAAAGCGUGCGCAGGCGGUUUGCUAAGACCGAUGUGAAAUCCCCGGGCUCAACCUGGGAACUGCAUUGGUGACUGGCAGGCUAGAGUAUGGCAGAGGGGGGUAGAAUUCCACGUGUAGCAGUGAAAUGCGUAGAGAUGUGGAGGAAUACCGAUGGCGAAGGCAGCCCCCUGGGCCAAUACUGACGCUCAUGCACGAAAGCGUGGGGAGCAAACAGGAUUAGAUACCCUGGUAGUCCACGCCCUAAACGAUGUCAACUAGUUGUUGGGGAUUCAUUUCCUUAGUAACGUAGCUAACGCGUGAAGUUGACCGCCUGGGGAGUACGGUCGCAAGAUUAAAACUCAAAGGAAUUGACGGGGACCCGCACAAGCGGUGGAUGAUGUGGAUUAACUCGAUGCAACGCGAAAAACCUUACCUACCCUUGACAUGGUCGGAAUCCCGCUGAGAGGUGGGAGUGCUCGAAAGAGAACCGGCGCACAGGUGCUGCAUGGCUGUCGUCAGCUCGUGUCGUGAGAUGUUGGGUUAAGUCCCGCAACGAGCGCAACCCUUGUCCUUAGUUGCUACGCAAGAGCACUCUAAGGAGACUGCCGGUGACAAACCGGAGGAAGGUGGGGAUGACGUCAAGUCCUCAUGGCCCUUAUGGGUAGGGCUUCACACGUCAUACAAUGGUCGGAACAGAGGGUUGCCAACCCGCGAGGGGGAGCUAAUCCCAGAAAACCGAUCGUAGUCCGGAUUGCACUCUGCAACUCGAGUGCAUGAAGCUGGAAUCGCUAGUAAUCGCGGAUCAGCAUGCCGCGGUGAAUACGUUCCCGGGUCUUGUACACACCGCCCGUCA